GACCGAUAGUGCACCAGUAGCGUGAGGGAAAGGUGAAAAGAACCGUGAAUAACGGAGUGAAACAGACCCUGAAACCAUACGCCUACAAGCGGUCGGAGCCAAUUUAUUGGUGACGGCGUGCCUUUUGCAUAAUGAGCCUACGAGUUACUUUUACCGGCAAGGUUAAGCACUUCAGGUGCGCAGCCGUAGCGAAAGCGAGUCUGAACAGGGCGCUUUAGUCGGUAGUAGUAGACGCGAAACCGUGCGAUCUACCCAUGGGCAGGUUGAAGCUGUGGUAACACAUAGUGGAGGACCGAACCCGUUGACGUUGAAAAGUCUUGGGAUGACCUGUGGGUAGGGGUGAAAGGCCAAUCAAGCUCGGAAAUAGCUCGUACUCCCCGAAAUGCAUUUAGGUGCAGCGUUCUGAUAGUUAUAUAGAGGUAGAGCUACUGAUUGGAUGCGGGGGCUUCACCGCCUACCAAUUCCUGACAAACUCCGAAUGCUAUAUAAUGUUUCAGGGCAGUGAGGGCAUGGGUGCUAAGGUCCAUGUCCGAGAGGGAAAGAACCCGGACCAUCAGCUAAGGUCCCCAAAUAUGUGCUAAGUUGACAAAACGCGGUGGGACUGCAUAGACAGCCAGGAUGUUGGCUUGGAAGCAGCCAUUCAUUUAAAGAGUGCGUAACAGCUCACUGGUCGAGCGGUCCCGCAUGGAUAAUGAUCGGGCAUAAGCACAUUACCGAAGCUAUGGCAUCGAAAGAUGGGUAGGGGAGCAUUCUGUUCGGCGCUGAAGGUGCACUGUGAGGUGUGCUGGAGCGUACAGAAACGAAAAUGUAGGCAUAAGUAACGAUAAUGCGGGCGAGAAACCCGCACGCCGAAAGACCAAGGUUUCCCCGGCCAUGCUAAUCAGCCGGGGGUCAGUCGGGACCUAACACGAACCCGGAAGGGGCAGUGGAUGGACAAGCGGUUAAUAUUCCGCUACCCGCAUAUCACUAAAAGUGACGGGGCAACUUAGUUGGUGCGUGCUGACGGAAUAGCACGUUGAAGCGCAAGCGAUAGUACGACAAGGCCACGGCCGCGUCGAUAAUCCAGCGGCGUUGCCUCCAAGAAAAGCGAGAUAUGCGGCCCGUACCGUAAACCGAC
rnacentral:rRNA from 1 species